CUUCCUCUCAAACAGACGUAAUCUGUGGAUCUGGGAGCCGGGCGCGCAGUCGGUGAAGAGUUGGUCCCGGACGGUAGUGAUGAGAGUAAAAACACCCACUGAGGCGGACUUGAAGAAACCGCAUCAGUCCACCUCGAGAGGACACUGAAUCCAGUUGUUUUACAAGCUGCGGAUGAAGGGGAAUUUGUGUGGUCAUUAGUGCCUCCCGAUGUUUUGAAGAUGAAGAUCGUUUUUCAAUGAGAUGCUGUUAAGGCCAAUUUUGAAGUGAAGAUGAAAGACUUUCAACUUCCUCUGAUUAAUGGUGGUAAGGCAAUAAAGCAGGACCUCUGAAAAGAAUGAAUGAAAGCAAAAACCAUGCUUGUCCUGUGGACAGUGGACUCAUUCUGCCACUGUCCUGUGUCAUUAUGUCCCUAUGCUGUGCGACCUGUCCUCCAGGGUUUGGAUUGACGUCCUCGCCUCUGUCCCUGUCCCCCUUGCUCUGUCUUUCCUCCCUCCUCUACGCCCUGCCUCGUCUCGUCAGCUCAGGCUCACGGUCGCAAACCCCCGCUCGCCUCGGCGAACAUUCAACGCUGUCGGUGAGUUUUGGUAUGGAUCACAUAAAAACCAUCGACCGUUGACUGUGCCCCGAGGCCGGCUCCGACGACGUCGGGAGUGAGCAGGAAAAGAACAAAAUGGCCAAGUAGGCGCAUGCAAAAAACCGGGAGACGAAGACGCGCGAGGACAAAAAAGUGACACUCUGUUUCCACUGUACCCAAAGACCAAAGGUCACAAUCAACAUUCAUUGCUGUCGCUGGGUUGGACUGUGUAGAAAAGCUCACUGAACAAUGAGUGCAACUGUGGCCCAGAUCUGCCUGACUCGCGUCUCAGCCAGUCAGCCGACCGGAUGCGAGACACUUUGAUUUCUUUAUUUAUAUUACUUCUUGUUUUUCACUUCUAUUUUCUCCUCUCUUCCUCCCUUCCCUGGCGCUGAAUAGUCUUCAGGGGAAGAGAGAGAUAGAGACAUAAAUAGACUUCUGGCGGCUUGCUUGUCCUCAUCCUCCUCUCCUCUAAUUGGUGGUUAUGUGUGCAGCAAGGGGGAAGGAAGCGGAGUGAAUGUGUAAUCAUUUGGAGUCUCUUCUCCUUCAGAUGUUUCAUCCCUCGCUCUUUUUUGUUUGUCUAAUUAUAUACUAAGCUCUGUUAACUCUGUGUUAACUGUGCUGGCAAGAAUGAGCGAGUGACAAAGAGAGGGAGGACAAUGGGG